AAUGGUGACGACACACACUAUGUACAGCUUGGCAAAGAAGAGUCUGACGCGGUGACAGCUGGAACUAAGAGUUUUUAUUUAUGACAACACUACAUUACUUGUCAACUCUAGUAUAUAUUGUGUCAAAAGCGAAACGUAGGGUUGCCUGUAUUUAAAGAAAAGAGCCCUCAUUUAAUCCACACUCUUCUUUGCCAAGCUGCAUAUGCUUAC